rnacentral:rRNA from 1 species
GAUGAACGCUGGCGGCGUGCCUAAUACAUGCAAGUCGAGCGAACAGAUAAGGAGCUUGCUCCUUUGACGAUAGCGGCGGACGGGUGAGUUACACGUGGAUAACCUACCUAUAAGACUGGGAUAACUUCGGGAAACCGGAGCUAACACCGGAUAACAUAUUGAACCGCAUGGUUCAAUAGUGAAAGGCGGCUUUGCUGUCACUUAUAGAUGGAUCCGCGCCGUAUUAGCUAGUUGGUAAGGUAACGGCUUACCAAGGCAACGAUACGUAGCCGACCUGAGAGGGUGAUCGGCCACACUGGAACUGAGACACGGUCCAGACUCCUACGGGAGGCAGCAGUAGGGAAUCGUCCGCAAUGGGCGAAAGCCUGACGGAGCAACGCCGCGUCAGUGAUGAAGGUCUUCGGAUCGUAAAACUCUGUUAUCAGGGAAGAACAAAUGUGUAAGUAACUGUGCACAUCUUGACGGUACCUGAUCAGAAAGCCACGGCUAACUACGUG